CAUGACUUCCUAAUGGCAAUUAUAAAAGGUAAUCUUAUUAGAAUUGAGCUUUGGCUUCAUUGGCUUUGGCUUGCUUUCUCAAUAGUGUGUACUUUUUGCCCAUCUCCACUGAUAUUGUAUUACAUUUAUAUACAUGGCCACUUGAGAAGGGUACUUAUUGGUCUAGACCUUUCUUAGUUUUGAAGCAAGUGUAAGACAGCUAUAAAGAAAGCAACCAACCUUUUUGUACACUAAUUUUGAAGUAUUUAGUCAAUAACAAUUAGCUCAUAUAAAAGAAGAUUGGGGUUUUUUCCCAGCAAAACCAAGGCAAGUGCUUGUACCAUAUCUACAAAUCCACAGACUCUGAAAGACAACCAAAAUGCAGGUCUGAUGAGGAGACAGCAGAAACUCUAGCAACACUAGGGAAAGUUUGUUGUCUUGGAAACUGCUCAGCUAAUCUCCUGAUUCUGCUGUUUAUUAAUGACUAAAAAUUUAUAACUAACAACCCCAAAAUUUAUAUUAAACACCAGUGGAUAUCACUUAACAUAAAUUUUGCUACUUCAUUUUCAUUUGUAGUGUGAACUUUAUUCAGUGUUCCAGUGUACUCUUUGAUCUGUUGACAUAGGGCUUAUUUCCUUUUUCCUGUGCAUAGUGGACAUUAAGCAGUUUUCACAGGAGCUAUAUACACAAACAUUUGCAGUAAAGUUUGCUGGCUGAGUUAUUGCUAGGAUUGAAGCAAGAGAGUUUUAUUUCCUUCUACUUUUUGUUUUUGUGCGAAUGCAAUGAAUUAUAAAGAUGCCAAAUUAUAUACAGUGGUGUUGGGUGCAUUUUUUUAGUUAUUUUAGAUCAAAUAUCACAGGAUCAUAGAACAGUUUGGGUUGUAAGGAACCUUGAAAAUCCUGUAGUUCCAACCACCCUGCUGCAGGCACAGACACCUUCCACUAAACCAGGUUGCUCAAAGCCCCGUGCAACCCAGCCUUGAACGUGAGUAUGCUGUCUGUGAUUACAGACAGUUCAUAUAUAAACUAUUUCUUCUCCAUAGAGUCUCUUCAUAAUGGGUGAUUGAACAACCUUGGAAAUAAACCCUUUAUACAUAUUAUAAAAAUGUUAAAUAUUGCUAUUGUUAAUAAUACAGGUCACUUUGCCUUUCAGUAUGUGUAGACUUCUUUCCAUGUUUGAAACAAGGAUUGGACUUUGGGGUGACCAUCCUUCACCCUUUGCUAGUACCAAGCAACUAAAAAAGGAGAAUUGUCUGAUUUGAAAGCAAGAGCCAUACAUACAGGAAGGGAGGAAAAUGAAGAUGCAGCUCAAAGGCAAACAAGAGAAGGAGUGAGUGUUUCCUCUGGGAACUAGGAUAAGAGGAAGCUUGGAUAGACUCACCAGAAAGAACGAGAUGCAGAACGGAACAGGGAACUGAGGAACAGAAAUCCAUGGGCACCAUAUACGGAGAAGAUGUGUAACAGGAGGCAGUGUGGCAGGGGAACAAUGUUUUACCUUCUUUCAAGUAGAACCCCAUAGUGACAGAAGCUACAUUCCUAAACUCCUGGGAAGCAAAUACAAAAGAAUAACAGAAGUGUCUCCAUCCUGAUUGUGUUCAAUCAAGGCACUCCAAGAGUGAGAUUUGGAGUAUUUAAGGGAUCUACUAAAGUUCAGAAAUGAAACAUAGGUUAUCUAGAACAAUGGAUCUUUCUACAGUAAUAGCAAGGCUUGACUAUGUGAGAACAGAAUUUUCUUUGGAAACAGUUCAGCUCUGUCUCAGAAACUACAGAUAAGGAAUGAUCCUUGAACCCGUCUCAUCUGAGACAGGCAUUGCUUUCACUGUUGUUUCUAUGACAGCUGAAUGUGAAUGGUGAAUGUAUCUUUGGAAGGCAGAAGCCACUGAUUACACCCCAGAAGAUGUGAUUCAUUUGAACUACAAAAUCUCUGCUUGUUGUGGUACUAAUAAGCAUUGUGCCUACUGAAAGCUGUAGCAGAAGAGAAAGGGAGGAGGCCUAACAUGCCUGACACUGUCUUUUAUCUGUGUUGCAGCAAGGGGAGAAAGAAAGAUGUACAGGAAUUGUUUUAUCAUCAUGCACACAUAUACACACACAUAAGCAUUUUUAUUUGUUUAUCUAAUCUCCUGGACGCUUUUUCAAUGCCUGUUUUAACCCUUUGUUCUUGAAGUAAGUAAGGAAAAACUAUAUGACAGGCAUUUAAUUUUUUUCUUUCCUGAGAGCAGCUAGUGUCCCUUGUGUUGAGAAGAAAAUAGUACCGUGUGGAAAGCUAAAUUUCAAUUAACACAUCAAAGGGCAGUUUGUGGUAUUUUGCCUAUAACUAAGGCUUAACUGAGUUGCAGGACUCUGGGAAUUUUGUGUUUUCCUAUAUGCUCACUUACUGCAUUCUUAGCUCUCCUACUUUUCUAGUCUUCCUCUGCUUCUCCAAAUGGGACUAAUGAAAGCAGUAUAAUCUUGUCGAAUAUGGUUCUUGCUGAGGAAUUAGAUGAACAGCUGCUGGGAACAGUCUGGGAAUACAAUUUGGUGGAAAAAAAGAGAUGAGGUACAAACAAAUUCCCUUAUGAUGCCAUUCAUUCUAUAUGCAGUAUUAUACCAGAGGGUGGAAAAAUGGGAAGGCCUAAAAUUCAAUUUCAAUUUGAGCUGGUUUAAAAAGAAGCAAUUCUACAUACAUUGCAGCCACAAAAACAUAUAUUUAUAGGCACAGGCUUUCACUUUGUAGGUAGAAACUGCACAGCUGGUUGUGUACAUCUGGUUUUUUGCAUGCAUAAGAACUUACUUUUACAGGCAAAACUAUUGUACUUUCUUCUCAGUAUUUCCCAAACAGUUAUGCUAAUUCCUACAUUAUCUAGUUCAUAUCUCUUCUUCGUGCUUUAAACAAGGUUGGGAAGGGGAAGAAAACCCUGCAUUUUGGCAUGCAGGACAAUCAAAAAUCCAAUCCAGAAAAUUAAAAAGUCAUUGGUAUGUGUCAGUGUUCCUGCAAUAUCCUCCCACUCACAUUUUUGCAUUGUAAAAAUCCAGCAUGCAGUUGUUGGUUAGGACUGGAAAUUAAAGCUAAUCCCCUCAGUUGCCUUAUGCAUGUCAUACACCAAUUGAAGCAAUGGCAUUUUGCUUUCUUGUCUUGCUACUUCAGUGAAUUUCUUCUUGGGUCCUUUACACCUGGGAAACACACAGAGAAUUAAACACACCUCUCUAUGGAAAUGGGAGAGCCAAACACAAGAAUUACGUUGAUCUUGGAUAAAUUAUCAUUUAAUGUAGUUCUAAUAAUUCCCACUAUUUUGUAAAGUUUGGUGGGGAUCUCGGUAAUAUAGAACAUGCUGUGGCCUUUGGCCCAGCAUAUUUUGAACGAGAUUUCCACCAACUUGUUUCCUUUCAACCCACUAAUGGCCAGUAGCCAGUAGUAGGAGUUGGAUUCUUUUCUUGAUUGGUGGGUUAGAACACAUGGAAACCCUCUUAUGCUGUGUAUGUUUUGUAAACUACAAGCUUGGACUGAAAACAGCCAUUUUAGAGUUCUAGGAAAGUAAUUUUAAAUAAAUACUUCAAAAUAUUAUUCUGGAACUGAAUUUUUUCCAAUUUUUUAAAAUUGGAAGAGGCCUUCUUGGUAGUGAUGAAGAAAGAAAUAUGUAUUUUUAAAAAAUAACUCUUAGAAAUCAUCUAAAAGUUUAACAGUCAUGAAGACUUCAUCCUAAAUGACAUUUUGGUUUCUUUAAAAGGGAUUGCAUUAGCUCUCAGAAUGGAAGUGUCACCAGAUCAACUGUAACUAUAGCUUGACACUUUGUGCUUCUGUGCAUGUGCACAGCUUGAUAUUAUCUAAGUACUGGUAACAGUGAUACCUAAGGCUGCCCUGGAUAAACACAGGUUUCUGAUGACAGCAUCUUAAGUACAGGAGAAAAGCUCUUGUGCAGUUUACAUUUAUGAUACCAUCAUAUCCCUGUGGUGCUGACAGAGCUUCAUUCACAGUUUUUCGGUGAGUUGUUUUUCUGUAUUUCAUGUAUCACUUCUCUUUCUUGGUGAAAAUCAUUGAUAUUUCUUCUCUUUAAUAAAACCAGAUUAAAAUUAAGAAUGAACAUCAAAAUACCUUUUACUAACCUCGUUAUUUUAAAAGAAUUCAAAAUCCCAAUUUGACUUCUUAAUGGUUGUAAAAUGUAUGUUUUGGACAGUAGAACUGUAUUUUAAGAAAUAAAGUAAUAAAUAAAGAAUAUUU